rnacentral:rRNA from 1 species
AUUGAACGCUGGCGGAAUGCUUUACACAUGCAAGUCGAACGGCAGCACGGACUUCGGUCUGGUGGCGAGUGGCGAACGGGUGAGUAAUACAUCGGAACGUGCCCAGUCGUGGGGGAUAACGUAGCGAAAGCUACGCUAAUACCGCAUACGAUCUACGGAUGAAAGCGGGGGAUCGCAAGACCUCGCGCGAUUGGAGCGGCCGAUGGCAGAUUAGGUAGUUGGUGGGGUAAAGGCUCACCAAGCCGACGAUCUGUAGCUGGUCUGAGAGGACGACCAGACACACUGGGACUGAGACACGGCCCAGACUCCUACGGGAGGCAGCGGUGGGGAAUUUUGGACAAUGGGCGCAAGCCUGAUCCAGCCAUUCCGCGUGCAGGAUGAAGGCCCUCGGGUUGUAAACUGCUUUUGUACGGAACGAAAAGGCUCUGGUUAAUACCCGGGGCUCAUGACGGUACCGUAAGAAUAAGCACCGGCUAACUACGUGCCAGCAGCCGCCGUAACAC